GAACGCUGGCGGCAUGCUUUACACAUGCAAGUCGAACGGUAACAGCSCUUCGGUGGCUGACGAGUGGCGAACGGGUGAGUAAUACAUCGGAACGUGCCUAGUAGUGGGGGAUAACUACUCGAAAGAGUAGCUAAUACCGCAUGAGAUCUAAGGAUGAAAGCAGGGGACCUUCGGGCCUUGCGCUACUAGAGCGGCUGAUGGCAGAUUAGGUAGUUGGUGGGAUAAAAGCUUACCAAGCCGACGAUCUGUAGCUGGUCUGAGAGGACGACCAGCCACACUGGGACUGAGACACGGCCCAGACUCCUACGGGAGGCAGCAGUGGGGAAUUUUGGACAAUGGGCGCAAGCCUGAUCCAGCAAUGCCGCGUGCAGGAUGAAGGCCUUCGGGUUGUAAACUGCUUUUGUACGGAACGAAAAGCCCUCUUCUAAUACAGGAGGGUCAUGACGGUACCGUAAGAAUAAGCACCGGCUAACUACGU
rnacentral:rRNA from 1 species